rnacentral:rRNA from 1 species
UACGAAGGGUGCAAGCGUUACUCGGAAUUACUGGGCGUAAAGGGUGCGUAGGUGGUUUUUUAAGUCCGGUGUGAAAGUCACAGGCUCAACCUGUGAAUGCCGCUGGAAACUGUCUGGCUUGAGUCCGGAAGGGGCGAGUGGAAUUCCUGGUGUAGCGGUGAAAUGCGCAGAUAUCAGGAGGAACACCAAUGGCGAAGGCAGCUCGCUGGAACGGUACUGACGCUGAGGCGCGAAAGCGUGGGGAGCGAACAGG